CCCCCCUUGUGGCACACGCUCCACGAGCAAAAUACAAAAAAGUUUCCCGGGGUUCCCCCGGAGGCUGACAUCAUGGGUUAUUUUUCCAUAAACGCGAAUACCUCCCGUGAUUUUGACUUACAGAGACCUUCCCAGAAUUGAAUGGGGCCUCGGGAAAUUUUAACCCGGUGCUUUAUGCCGGUUAAAUCCAAUCUCUAAAGGUUUUAGGUUAAAAGCCCUUAUCGAGGCCAACCCUUAUCCUUGGUUGCUAACAGGUAAUCAUGAAAACUCCAGGGAGACUGCCGGUGACAAACCGGAGGAAGGUGGGGACGACGUCAGGUCAUCAUGGCCCUUACGGCCAGGGCUACACACGUGUUACAAUGGCGUAUACAGAGGGCUGCCAACUCGCGAGAGUGAGCCAAUCCCUUAAAGUGCGUCGUAGUCCGGAUCGCAGUCUGCAACUCGACUGCGUGAAGUCGGAAUCGCUAGUAAUCGCGAAUCAGAAUGUCGCGGUGAAUACGUUCCCGGGCCUUGUACACACCGCCCGUCACACCAUGGGAGUGGAUUGCACCAGAAGUGGUUAGUCUAACCUUCGGGAGGACGAUCACCACUAGUGUGGUUCAUGAAUAAGUGAAGUCGCAUCAAUGAGGCCAAGCCA
rnacentral:rRNA from 1 species